UCGAACGGCAGCACGGAGAGCUUGCUCUCUGGUGGCGAGUGGCGAACGGGUGAGUAAUAUAUCGGAACGUGUCCAAUAAUGGGGGAUAACGAGUCGAAAGAUUCGCUAAUACCGCAUACGCCCUACGGGGGAAAGCAGGGGAUCGUAAGACCUUGCGUUAAUGGAGCGGCCGAUAUCUGAUUAGCUUGUUGGUGAGGUAAAGGCUCACCAAGGCGACGAUCAGUAGCUGGUUUGAGAGAACGACCAGCCACACUGGAACUGAGACACGGUCCAGACUCCUACGGGAGGCAGCAGUGGGGAAUUUUGGACAAUGGGGGCAACCCUGAUCCAGCCAUUCCGCGUGAGUGAAGAAGGCCUUCGGGUUGUAAAGCUCUUUCGCAAGGGAAGAAAACUUAUGAUCGAAUAAAUCAUGAGGUUGACGGUACCUUGAUAAGAAGCACCGGCUAACUACGUGCCAGCAGCCGCGGUAAUACGUAGGGUGCGAGCGUUAAUCGGAAUUACUGGGCGUAAAGCGUGCGCAGGCGGUUUUGUAAGUCGGAUGUGAAAUCCCCGGGCUCAACCUGGGAACUGCGUUCGAAACUGCAAGGCUAGAGUGUGUCAGAGGGGGGUAGAAUUCCACGUGUAGCAGUGAAAUGCGUAGAGAUGUGGAGGAAUACCAAUGGCGAAGGCAGCCCCCUGGGAUAACACUGACGCUCAUGCACGAAAGCGUGGGGAGCAAACAGGAUUAGAUACCCUGGUAGUCCACGCCCUAAACGAUGUCAACUAGUUGUUGGUAGAGUAAAAUCUAUGAGUAACGUAGCUAACGC
rnacentral:rRNA from 1 species